GACGAACGCUGGCGGCGUGCUUAACACAUGCAAGUCGAACGAUGAAGCUGGAGCUUGCUCUAGCGGAUUAGUGGCGAACGGGUGAGUAACACGUGAGCAAUCUGCCCUUGACUCUGGGAUAACUGCGGGAAACUGUAGCUAAUACCGGAUACUUUCACCGGGGGGCAUCCUCUGGUGAUGAAAGAAUUUCGGUCAAGGAUGAGCUCGCGGCCUAUCAGCUUGUUGGUGAGGUAACGGCUCACCAAGGCGACGACGGGUAACCGGCCUGAGAGGGUGACCGGUCACACUGGGACUGAGACACGGCCCAGACUCCUACGGGAGGCAGCAGUGGGGAAUAUUGCACAAGGGGCGCAAGCCUGAUGCAGCAACGCCGCGUGAGGGAUGAAGGCCUUCGGGUUGUAAACCUCUUUUAGCAGGGAAGAAGCGGAAGUGACGGUACCUGCAGAAAAAGCACCGGCUAACUACGUGCCAGCAGCCGCCGUAA
rnacentral:rRNA from 1 species